rnacentral:rRNA from 1 species
UACGUAGGGUGCAAGCGUUAAUCGGAAUUACUGGGCGUAAAGACGUGCGCAGGCGGUCCGUUAAGACAGAUGUGAAAUCCCCGGCUUAACCUGGGAACUGCAUUUGUGACUGGCGGACUCGAGUAUGGCAGAGGGGGUAGAAUUCCACGUGUAGCAGUGAAAUGACGUAGAGAUGUGGAGGAAUACCGAUGCGAAGGCAGCCC